rnacentral:rRNA from 1 species
AGUGAACGCUGGCGGUAGGCCUAACACAUGCAAGUCGAACGGCAGCACAGUAAGAGCUUGCUCUUACGGGUGGCGAGUGGCGGACGGGUGAGGAAUACAUCGGAAUCUACUUUUUCGUGGGGGAUAACGUAGGGAAACUUACGCUAAUACCGCAUACGACCUACGGGUGAAAGCAGGGGAUCUUCGGACCUUUCGCGAUUGAAUGAGCCGAUGUCGGAUUAGCUAGUUGGCGGGGUAAAGGCCCACCAAGGCGACGAUCCGUAGCUGGUCUGAGAGGAUGAUCAGCCACACUGGAACUGAGCCACGGUCCAGACUCCUACGGGAGGCAGCAGUGGGGAAUAUUGGACAAUGGGCGCAAGCCUGAUCCAGCCAUACCGCGUGGGUGAAGAAGGCCUUCGGGUUGUAAAGCCCUUUUGUUGGGAAAGAAAAGCAGCAGGUUAAUACCACGCUGUUCUGACGGUACCCAAAGAAUAAGCACCGGCUAACUUCGUG